UACGUAGGUGGCAAGCGUUGUUCGGAAUUACUGGGCGUAAAGGGCUCGUAGGCGGCCAACUAAGUCAGACGUGAAAUCCCUCGGCUUAACCGGGGAACUGCGUCUGAUACUGGUUGGCUUGAGUGUGGGAGAGGGAUGCGGAAUUCCAGGUGUAGCGGUGAAAUGCGUAGAUAUCUGGAGGAACACCGGUGGCGAAGGCGGCAUCCUGGACCAUUACUGACGCUGAGGAGCGAAAGCCAGGGGAGCAAACGGG
rnacentral:rRNA from 1 species